AAUGAAGCACUUCACUAGAAAUUAUACUAGAUGCGAUGUUCUUUUUAAGCGGUUUUGCGGUUUUGGAACUGCUGUGGCUUGAGCUGAAAGUCUCCAUUCGAUCAUUGGGUGGGAAUAUUAAAAUGUUUGUGAUUGCCGUUUGCUACUUUUUGUACGAAA